rnacentral:rRNA from 1 species
CUCUGUUGUUAGGGAAGAACAAGUGCUAGUUGAAUAAGCUGGCACCUUGACGGUACCUAACCAGAAAGCCACGGCUAACUACGUGCCAGCAGCCGCGGUAAUACGUAGGUGGCAAGCGUUAUCCGGAAUUAUUGGGCGUAAAGCGCGCGCAGGUGGUUUCUUAAGUCUGAUGUGAAAGCCCACGGCUCAACCGUGGAGGGUCAUUGGAAACUGGGAGACUUGAGUGCAGAAGAGGAAAGUGGAAUUCCAUGUGUAGCGGUGAAAUGCGUAGAGAUAUGGAGGAACACCAGUGGCGAAGGCGACUUUCUGGUCUGUAACUGACACUGAGGCGCGAAAGCGUGGGGAGCAAACAGGAUUAGAUACCCUGGUAGUCCACGCCGUAAACGAUGAGUGCUAAGUGUUAGAGGGUUUCCGCCCUUUAGUGCUGAAGUUAACGCAUUAAGCACUCCGCCUGGGGAGUACGGCCGCAAGGCUGAAACUCAAAGGAAUUGACGGGGGCCCGCACAAGCGGUGGAGCAUGUG